ACCUGACUGCUAUCGGAUUGAUACUAAGCCAUGCGAGUCAUUGUAGCAAUACAAGGCAUACGGCUCAGUAACGCGUAGUCAACCUAACCUAUGGACGGGAAUAACCUCGGGAAACUGAGAAUAAUGCCCGAUAGAACACUAUACCUGGAAUGGUUUGUGUUCCAAAUGAUUUAUCGCCAUAGGAUGGGACUGCGGCCUAUCAGUUUGCUGGUGAGGUAAUGGCCCACCAAGACUAUUACAGGUACGGGCUCUGAGAGGAGUAGCCCGGAGAUGGGUACUGAGACACGGACCCAGGCCCUAUGGGGCGCAGCAGGCGAGAAAACUUUGCAAUGUGCGAAAGCACGACAAGGUUAAUCCGAGUGAUUUGUGCUAAACGAAUCUUUUGUUAGUCCUAGAAACACUAACGAAUAAGGGGUGGGCAAGUUCUGGUGUCAGCCGCCGCGGUAAAACCAGCACCUCAAGUGGUCAGGAUGAUUAUUGGGCCUAAAGCAUCCGUAGCCGGCUCUGUAAGUUUUCGGUUAAAUCUGUACGCUUAACGUACAGGCUGCCGGGAAUACUGCAAAGCUAGGGAGUGGGAGAGGUAGACGGUACUCGGUAGGAGGUGGUAAAAUGCUUUGAUCUAUCGAUGACCACCUGUGGCGAAGGCGGUCUACCAGAACACGUCCGACGGUGAGGGAUGAAAGCUGGGGGAGCAAACCGGAUUAGAUACCCGGGUAGUCCCAGCUGUAAACUAUGCAAACUCAGUGAUGCAUUGGCUUGUGGCCAAUGCAGUGCUGCAGGGAAGCCGUUAAGUUUGCCGCCUGGGAAGUACGUACGCAAGUAUGAAACUUAAAGGAAUUGGCGGGGGAGCACCACAAGGGGUGAAGCCUGCGGUUC
rnacentral:rRNA from 1 species